rnacentral:ncRNA from 1 species
GAAAGCCGUGUGCAAUGAAAAAUGCAAGCACAGUUUGGGAAGGGGUGUUUUCCUUAUUUUAU